rnacentral:rRNA from 1 species
GGCAAAUCCUGACAAGCAGCCGCGGAAAGACGGAGGGGGCAAGCGUAAAGCGGAAGAACUGGGGGUAAAGCGCACGCAGGCGGGCGGAUAAGUCAGAUGGUAAAGCCCCGGGCUCAACCUGGGAACGGCAUUUGAAACUGGCCGACUAGAGGCGUGUAGAGGGGGGUAGAAUUUCAGGUGUAGCGGUGAAAUGCGUAGAGAUCUGGAGGAAUACCGGUGGCGAAGGCAGCUUACUAAGAUACAACUGACGCUGAGGCACGAAAGCGUGGGGAUCGAACAGGAUUAGAUACCCGAGUAGUC